rnacentral:piRNA from 1 species
UCAGGUUCUGCUGGUGAACCAAGGUCGC